GGUCGAGCUGAAGAAAGAGUGGGGCUUAGCUUCUCUGCAAGCAGAUGGCCAGGCAGGGACAGAGUCCUCCACUCUGAGCAGACACCGCUGGAGGUCCCUCUGCUGGGACACCCCCACCUACCCUCACCCAACCGAGAGGAAGACUUCCUUGCUCAACCUCCACAUCUGGCUCCCACAGUUCUGGCUGGAAGCUGUCGCCCAUUCUGGCCCUCUUCCCUUCUUCCCUCGUGGCUCCAGCACACUGGGUCUGGAAGGCUUAAUAAGGAAGCACAUCAGAGACAUUAUUUCUGCGGUGACAACCCUCCCAGCCAGAUAGCAACUCCUCCCUUAGGGGGACCCCCAGCCUCUGCUACCCCAUCUCAGCGCUCCCUCCGGAAACCCCGGGGUAAAGCACUCUAAGGGGGAUGAAAGGGACCCGGGCCGCAGCGCGGCUCCAGAGGCCCUUUUAUGUCCGGGUUCCCAGGCGCUAACGACGUGUCCAGACAGCUACCCCCAGCGCCCGGGGCGGCCCCACUCCUCUCUGCUCCGGGGACGCGCCGUAUCCUCCAACCUAUCCCCUCGGCCCUCCAGCCGCCGUAGGGGUAGUCCACCCCAACCCCCCAGCCCCCCAGCCCAGGGGCGUGAAGUGAAAGAGCGAGGAAGGGGAGAACUGAUGGGCAUGCGCAGCUCCUCCCCGCCCAGUCAAACGCGUCCGUCCUGUCCAGCCCCAGCGACUAAGAGACCCCUAGCGACCCGGCUCCCUGACCCCCGCACCACUUUCCUUCCCUCUCCAUAAAUAACCACCUUCUCUUACUCAAGCCACCCCCCCCCCUAAGGGCAUCAGGCCAGAGGGCUCUCUUCUGAUGGCCCGAGGGGAGACCAACGGGGAGGCGGGACGGGGAGGCGGGACGAGGAGCUCAGUUGCAGGGAGCCGCGCUGCCCUCGGCCUCGCGCUUGCCUUUGCCCCCGGGGGGCUCCGCUCCGCCGGCCUUGCCCUCUCCCGCCGCCGCCCCGGCAGCCUCCUCUUUGGCGCCCUCGUGGGUUUUCAUGUGUUUGGCCAGGUGGUCGCUGCGCAUGAAGACUCGGCUGCAGACUGCGCAGGGGAACUUCUUGGUGCCGGUGUGGGUCUGGAGGUGGCGCUGCAGCUCGUCGGAGCGCGUGAAGCGCUUGCCGCAGAAGAGCCAGUUGCACACGAAGGGGCGGUCGCCGCUGUGCCAGCGCAGGUGUGCCUUCAGCUGGAAGAUCACAGGGGUCACUCCAGAAUGAAGACCUAGUGGGGCCAGAUUCCUGGAGAAUUUCUUGACUGUAUAUGUGUGUGUGGAUAAGAAGCGGGAUGGAUAUGAAGCUCUACAGACCGAGCACGUUGGUGGAGGACCCUGCGCCCCUUUCCUGCCACCGCCACUGCCAAUACUCACAUUAACACACUAACCAGUUCUACUUUGCUGAAAGCCAAUGGAUGCUUUGAUGCCCAAGGAACCAAUGAGAUUGCCAGAAUCUCUACUCUCCUCUGCCCCACCCCCUCUAUCUGCUCCUGAAAUCCAUUCCCAGUCAGCUCCCACCUUCUGCCUACCACCCCAAGUCAGCUCUGUCCCUUUCAUCUUCCUCCUCUGCUUCAGGGCCUAAAAGAGGUAGCUGGGGAGAGGUGGAGGGGUGUUUCUGAAGGAGCCUUUGGCCUCUACCUCAUCAAAUGACAUCCUUGCUUCUUUGUCCUUCCUCCCCCCUGGAAAAGGGUAGGAGGCAUUGCUUUCUUCCACUGCCACUGAGGGAGAGGGUUUUGAGUUGGACCUUCCAGACAACUUCCUGAUAACUGAGGUGGUAAGAAGUGCCUGGAGGGACCAGGAGGGAAAUGCAUGAACACAAUGACGGUUCUUCCUCCUGAUACUGCCUAUCUGGUUGGAAUAAAUGUUUUUGGUUUCUCAGCUGGUACCCCAGAACCCACAGCCAUACCAGAUACUGAAACUCUGCCUGUGCUGUGUGACCUCAGGAGGGACCCACUCUUUCCUGCUCCAAACUCAGUGGGGAGACCUGGUCUACACUGGUUCGAUGGUCUCCAUAACCUGGAGCCUCAAGCUCACCUUCCCUAGUUUUCUGGCAAAUCCCAGCACUCCCUGAACUCAUCCUCUCUAAGUAGCUCCCCUAAAACACACUGAGAAGAGGGAUUUGUACUUUUCUGAACUUCCUUCCAGCAGGCAGAGUCCAUGACCUUCUCAAGUCUUCCCAAGGAUCUUCAUUUUAUUCACUAAUUGUAUCAGAGACACCCAGAACAGUGUCUGGCACAUAGUAGGAGCUCUAUAAAUAUUUGUUGGAUGACAAAUGGUUCUUAUGCUUGGAAAGUCCCUCCUCCGGAAGUCCAUCCUACCUCCGUAUUGCUGCCAUUUAAAUUUUCAGUUGUCUGGGCCUCAGAAGAGAGGGCUCAUCUGCCAUCAGUUAUGACUGAUGGUACACCUCCUGUGUGCAAACCUUUGUGA